AAAUUGAAGAGUUUGAUCAUGGCUCAGAUUGAACGCUGGCGGCAGGCCUAACACAUGCAAGUCGAACGGUAACAGGAAACAGCUUGCUGUUUCGCUGACGAGUGGCGGACGGGUGAGUAAUGUCUGGGAAACUGCCUGAUGGAGGGGGAUAACUACUGGAAACGGUAGCUAAUACCGCAUAACGUCGCAAGACCAAAGAGGGGGACCCUCGGG
rnacentral:rRNA from 1 species